UUGCCGUCUUCCUAAAUUCCAUAUAUAUGUGUUAGUAUACUGUAUUGGUGUUUUUCUUUCUGGCUUACUUCACUCUGUAUAAUCGGCUCCAGUUUCAUCCAUCUCAUCAGAACUGAUUCAAAUGAAUUCUUUUUAACGGCUGAGUAAUACUCCAUUGUGUAUAUGUACCACAGCUUUCUUAUCCAUUCAUCUGCUGAUGGACAUCUAGGUUGUUUCCAUGUCCUGGCUAUUAUAAACAGUGCUGCGAUGAACAUUGGGGUACAUGUGUCUCUUUCAAUUCUGGUUUCCUCGGUGUGUAUGCCCAGCAGUGGGAUUGCUGGGUCAUAAGGUAGUUCUAUUUGCAAUUUUUAAAGGAAUCUCCACACUGUUCUCCAUAGUGGCUGUACUAGUUUGCAUUCCCACCAACAGUGUAGGAGGGUUCCCUUUUCUCCACACCCUCUCCAGCAUUUAUUGCUUGCAGAUUUUUGGAUCGCAG
ensembl:lncRNA